UGAGGAAUAUUGGUCAAUGGGCGCAAGCCUGAACCAGCCAUCCCGCGUGCAGGAAGACGGCCCUAUGGGUUGUAAACUGCUUUUCCAGGGGACGAAUAGCUUUUACGUGUAAGGGCAUGACGGUACCUUGGGAAUAAGCAUCGGCUAACUCCGUGCCAGCAGCCGCGGUAAUACGGAGGAUGCGAGCGUUAUCCGGAUUCAUUGGGUUUAAAGGGUGCGUAGGCGGACUGAUAAGUCAGUGGUGAAAUCCUGCAGCUUAACUGUAGAACUGCCAUUGAUACUGUUAGUCUUGAGUUUGGUUAAGGUAGGCGGAAUGUGUAAUGUAGCGGUGAAAUGCUUAGAUAUUACACAGAACACCGAUUGCGUAGGCAGCUUACUGGACCGACACUGACGCUGAGGCACGAAAGCGUGGGGAUCGAACA
rnacentral:rRNA from 1 species